CCUACGUGUGGCAGCAGUGAGGAAUAUUGGUCAAUGGGCGUAAGCCUGAACCAGCCAAGUCGCGUGAGGGAUGAAGGUUCUAUGGAUCGUAAACCUCUUUUAUAAGGGAACAAAGGCGGGGACGUGUCCCCGGAUGAGUGUACCUGAAGAAAAAGCAUCGGCUAAAUCCGUGCCAGCAGCCGCGGUAAUACGGGGGAUGCGAGCGUUAUCCGGAUUUAUGGGGGUAAAAGGGGGCGAAGGCGGGCUGUAAAGUCAGCGGUCAAAGCCCGGGGCUCAACCCCGGACCGCCGUUGAAACUGGCAGUCUCGAGUUGGCGAGAAGUAUGCGGAAUGCGCGGUGUAGCGGUGAAAUGCAUAGAUAUCGCGCAGAACCCCGAUUGCGAAGGCAGCAUGCCGGCUCCACACUGACGCUGAGGCACGAAAGCGUGGGGAUCGAACAGGAUUAGAUACCCGGGUAGUC
rnacentral:rRNA from 1 species